CCUACGGGGGGCAGCAGUGGGGAAUAUUGCACAAUUGGCGAAAGCCUGAUGCAGCAACGCCGCGUGAGCGAUGAAGGCCUUCGGGUCGUAAAGCUCUGUCCUCAAGGAAGAUAAUGACGGUACCUGGGGAGGAAGCUCCGGCUAACUACGUGCCAGCAGCCGCGGUAAUACGUAGGGAGCGAGCGUUGUCCGGAAUUACUGGGUGUAAAGGGAGCGUAGGCGGGGAUGCAAGUUGGGUGUCAAAACUACCGGCUCAACUGGUAGUCGCACUCAAAACUGCAGCUCUUGAGUGAAGUAGAGGCAGGCGGAAUUCCUAGUGUAGCGGUGAAAUGCGUAGAUAUUAGGAGGAACACCAGUGGCGAAGGCGGCCUGCUGGGCUUUUACUGACGCUGAGGCUCGAAAGUGUGGGGAGCAAACAGGAUUAGAUACCCUUGUAGUC
rnacentral:rRNA from 1 species